GAGGGAAAGGUGAAAAGCACUUCGAACAGAAGAGUGAAAUAGUCCCUGAACCCAUACGCCUACAAGCAGUCGGAGCCGCUUCGUGCGGUGACGGCGUGCCUUUUGCAUAAUGAGCCUACGAGUUACUCAUCACCAGCGAGGUUAAGUACUUCAGGUACGUAAGCCGAAGCGAAAGCGAGUCUGAAUAGGGCGUCAAGUUGGUGGUGGUAGACGCGAAACCUUAGUGAUCUACCCAUGGGCAGGGUGAAGGUUUGGUAACACAAACUGGAGGCCCGAACCGGUAAACGUUGAAAAGUUUUCGGAUGACCUGUGGGUAGGGGUGAAAGGCCAAUCAAACUGGGAAAUAGCUCGUACUCUCCGAAAUGCAUUUAGGUGCAGCCUCUGUUGUUUUGUUCUAGAGGUAGAGCUACUGAUUGGAUGCGAGGGCUUCACCGCCUAUCAAAUCCGGCCAAACUCCGAAUGCUAGAACAUGAAGACAGGGAGUGAGCCAGCGGGUGCUAAGGUCCGUUGACGAAAGAGGGAGAACUCAGACCAUCAGCUAAGGUCCCCAAUUAUAUGCUAAGUUGGAAUAAAAACGGGGUGGGACUGCUUAGACAGCUAGGAUGUUGGCUUGGAAGCAGCCAUUCAUUUAAAGAGUGCGUAACAGCUCACUAGUCGAGCGGUCCUGCAUGGAUAAUACGCGGGCAUAAGCAUAUAACCGAAGCUAUGGGAUUGUAGAUGAUACAAUCGGUAGGAGAGCAUUCCAUUCAGCAUAGAAGCAGUAUCGUGAGGUAUUGUGGAGCGGAUGGAAAAGCAAAUGUAGGCAUAAGUAACGAUAAUGCGGGUGAGAACCCCGCACGCCGAAAGAUCAAGGAUUCCCCGGCAAUGUCAAUCAUCCGGGGGUAAGUCGGAUCCUAAGGGUAAGCCGAGUGGCGAUCCCGAUGGCAAACAGGUUAAUAUUCCUGUACUGAUCAUAACUGCGAUGCAGCGACGCAGAGGUGACACUGCUGCGUACUGACGGAAUAGUACGUUGAAACCCGUAUUCUUUGAUACCGGUAGUGAAGCACGCCGGUAGAGAUGAAAGGUGAUAGUACCGCAAUGCUUCGGUUGCGCGGAUAAUGCAGGUAAGCUGACUGCCAAGAAAACCUGCUAAGCUUCAGGUAAUGAUCAUCCGUACUGUAAACGGACACACGUGAUCAGGUAGAAAAUACUAAGGCGCUCGAGAGAUUCAUGGUUAAGGAACUAGGCAAAAUGGUCCUGUAACUUCGGGAUAAAGGACGCUCUUGUGAAAGAGCCGCAGAUAAUAGGCCCAGGCGACUGUUUACCAAAAACACAUGGCUAUGCUAAUUCGCAAGAAGAUGUAUAUGGCCUGACACCUGCCCGGUGCCGGAAGGUUAAGAGGAGAGCUCAGAGGUAACUCGAAGGUUUGAAUUGAAGCCCCGGUAAACGGCGGCCGUAACUAUAACGGUCCUAAGGUAGCGAAAUUCCUUGUCGGGUAAGUUCCGACCUGCACGAAUGGUGUAACGAUCUGGGUACUGUCUCAACCAUGAGCUCGGUGAAAUUGUAGUUCCGGUGAAGAUGCCGGAUACCCGCAACGGGACGGAAAGACCCCGUGAACCUUUACUGCAGCUUUGCAUUGAUUUUGGGUAACAGAUGUGUAGGAUAGGUCGGAGGCUUUGAUGCUGCGUCGUCAGGCGUAGAGUAGCCGUCGUUGAAAUACGACCCUUUUGUUAUCUGAGGUCUAAUCCCGUUAGGGAGACAUUGCAUGGUGGGUAGUUUGACUGGGGUGGUCGCCUCCAAAAGUGUAACGGAGGCUUCUCAAGGUACCCUCAAGGCGUUUGGUAAUCGUCUGCAGAGUGCAAUGGCAUAAGGGUGCUUGACUGUGAGACCGACACGUCGAUCAGGUUGGAAACAAGAGCAUAGUGAUCCGGUGGUUCCGCAUGGAAGGGCCAUCGCUCAAAGGAUAAAAGGUACUCCGGGGAU
rnacentral:rRNA from 1 species